GAUGAACGCUGGCGGCGUGCUUAACACAUGCAAGUCGAACGGUGAAGCUCCAGCUUGCUGGAGUGGAUCAGUGGCGAACGGGUGAGUAACACGUGAGCAACCUGCCCCUGACUCUGGGAUAACAGCCGGAAACGGCUGCUAAUACCGGAUAUGCACCAUGAACGCAUGUUCUGUGGUGGGAAAGAUUUUUCGGUUGGGGAUGGGCUCGCGGCCUAUCAGCUUGUUGGUGAGGUAAUGGCUCACCAAGGCGUCGACGGGUAGCCGGCCUGAGAGGGUGACCGGCCAAACUGGGACUGAGACACGGCCCAGACUCCUACGGGAGGCAGCAGUGGGGAAUAUUGCACAAUGGGCGAAAGCCUGAUGCAGCAACGCCGCGUGAGGGAUGACGGCCUUCGGGUUGUAAACCUCUUUUAGCAGGGAAGAAGCGAGAGUGACGGUACCUGCAGAAAAAGCGCCGGCUAACUACGUG
rnacentral:rRNA from 1 species